rnacentral:lncRNA from 1 species
GUCGGAGGUCAAUCUCCGCCUAAUCCUCCGACGGCAACUCCAGCUCCUCCUACACCAACUACUCCUUCUCCCCCGACUAGCACUCCUGCUCCUCCAACUACCACUCCUCCUCCGGCUUCAGCUCCUCCACCAGUAACCCAAUCUCCACCUCCUGCUACUCCUCCUCCAGUUUCAGCACCCCCACCGGCUACUCCUCCUCCUGUCAGCUCUCCACCGCCUGCAUCUCCUCCCCCCGCAACUCCACCUCCAGCGUCUCCUCCACCUGCUACUCCACCUCCUGCUUC